UACGUAGGGAGCAAGCGUUGUCCGGAUUUAUUGGGCGUAAAGAGCUCGUAGGCGGCUUAGAAAGUCAGGUGUGAAAACUCUGGGCUUAACCCAGAGACGCCACUUGAUACUUCUAUGGCUUGAGUUCGGUAGGGGACCAUGGAAUUCCUGGUGUAGCGGUGAAAUGCGCAGAUAUCAGGAGGAACACCGAUGGCGAAGGCAGUGGUCUGGGCCGAUACUGACGCUGAGGAGCGAAAGCGUGGGGAGCAAACAGG
rnacentral:rRNA from 1 species